rnacentral:lncRNA from 1 species
UUCCUGGACCAUGCGUCCAGCCUCUCAGAUUUAUUUUUUAAUCACCAUUCUGGAGCUGUUAUUACUGUUUUGUAGCCUCCAGUAUUUUCCACUAAGAAUAAGGUAACCUUGUCAAUUCCCUGUGGGUAACAUAUUAUUCCUUUUCUGGCUACUUUCAGAGUUUUCAGCAGCUAAGUGAGGGCUUCUGUGUUUUCACUCUGCUUGUGUUUGCUGGAGUUUUAGGUAGCAAAUUCCAUAGGAUAGAGCGAUUUCACAAUUAUGUGUUCAGAUUUUUUUUUUCUUAAAUUCUUCCUUUCUCCGCUCCCAGGAAGACAGCCAUACUUUCAACGGGUCCCUUAAGCACUGCUCGUUUAUAUUUAAUCUCUUUUCUCUGAUUUUCAUAAUCAUUUUUUAUUGAUUUCUUUUAACUUACGGUUUCUUCUGCCAACUCCUUUAAUAUAUUUCCUUUAUUUCUUCAAUGGCAUUUAAAGAAUUGCUUUGAAGUCAUUCUUAAUCUGACAUUUAGACCCAGUGACAUCAGUUUCUGUUAAAUGUCCAUCCACCCAAACAUAGGUCACAUUGUCCCAUUUAUGCUCGUGUCUAUGAUCUGGGUGUUAGGGACAUGUUUAGCAGCAACUCAUGUGAUCCUUUAAGGGUGUCUUUAUUGUUACUUGUACAGCAGUCAGCUAACAUUCAGUGCCAGCCAUCAGCUCUGUCCUGUGGUGUGCAGUAGCCCGUAACAGCAGCAGCACCCUAAUACCAGCAGCAGCAGCAGCAGCUACAUCCAUCCACUUAGUCCUUCCCAUUGAUAGCUGCCAUUGGUUUUGAACCUGGCAUCCCUGUGAUCCAUGCUGUACCUUACAGCUGACUGUUCAGUCAAGGAUCUGAACAGAGUUUGUCCUCUGAUGUUUCAAACUAUUCAGGAUUUAGCCUUUUUGCCUCUUGAGCCACUUACGGAUGCAGGAGUACCAGAAAAGCGGCAGACUCAUACAUAUCCUCUGUAGCACUUUGGUCCCUCGGGUGCAGUGAGUGUCCCUCUGGAUUCUGUCAGCUGUUUCCCCGAAAAUCCCUGCUGUCUCCCUCCUCUAUGCUCAUGUGACAAUUACACUCAUAUUUUUGGACCCACCCAUUCCAUGGCCUACUUAUUUCUGAGAUCCUACGGUGUAUACUUUGCCAUCUUAAAUUAGAAAAAAAAAUCCCAAUACUUUCUAAAUUCAUACUUGUUACAGUUGCUGCUUUUCAGUGAUUAAUGCUCUGUGCUUACGCCUGCUCUAGGUCACCUUCCAAUUCCUUUAAAUGGUGGUAGGUAGGCUGGUAGAUAUCACCCAUCAUCCAGAUUUGCCCUUCCAUGAGAACAGAAGUCCUUCCACUUUCUUUAACAUUACUCAAGACAUUCUGUCUUAGAAAACUGUCUGCAAUGCUGCAAUGUUUUCUACAUGCCCACAUUUAGGAUUAGACUCUGACUGAGACCCAACAUCUCUUGGUAAGAAAGACAGUGGUUUGUCUUCCAGGUCAUUCUAUAUUCUGUGAUGCUGACAACUUUAACAAACCCCAUAUCCAAGUGCUUCUCUAUCUUAAAAUUAGUAUAAAGCUACUUGGAAGCUCUGUAUUUAUACUGGAGAUUAUAAGUAUUCUUACUGGGGAGAAAAAUUAUAACAACUUAAGGUCAAUUACUGAGAAUGGAGUUAUUGAAUGAGUGGGUAUGAAUAUGAUGAAUCUGUUCGGUAAUUGUGCUAAACAGUCCUGCGGAAUGACUGCACUGGUUUUCAGUGCUACAUAAAGGAAGAUAAUUGUGAAUUUAUUAUAGGCUUGGAUAUUUUAUGGUUUUUCUAAAACAACUGACUAGUACUAUAAAGCCAACUUUAAAAAAAAUAAAAAGGUAUUCCAUAAUAAUCUGUUCAAGUAGAAUCUUUGUCCCGCCACUCACUUUGGUGGGUCACACUUGGAAUGGGUUUGUGGAGCCAGGACAGAAUGGGAUCGGGGCUUUAGAAUUCUUAUUCUCUGCUCUACUAUAUCAGUAAAUAUAAAUCCAGGAAACUUUUUAAACAUCUACUCUAAGGAACCAGCUCUAUUUACAAGAUAUUUUAUAGUGACUUCAUUAUUAAUAUUUUCUAUCCUCUUCCCACUUUAAUCGCUGUAUUGAAAUACAAUCUGUACUUAAUUCAGUUAAUACUGAGGUAUAAGGGUCAGUGGGUUUUUAGCAUAUUCACAGAGUCGCACGUCCACCACAGCAUCGCUUUGUAUAGUAAUGGAAUUAUUCCUAAAGGUGAAUGACUACAUAAUGACGUUCCUGUAACAAGGGACUGGCAUCGUUUACCACUUUCUUUCCCUCUCUCUAGCUUUGCUCCUGAGUUUAACUAUGAUAUAUAGAGGUAGCAUCUUAAGGUAAAUCUGGGCUAAAUUGGAGGGAAAUAAUCAUGGAAAAUAUUUCCUAUCUCAGUAUGAAAGUAGACUUGAGAAAAUAGACAUUUUUUAAAGGUGGAAUGGUAAAAAAAACAGCCACAACAAUUAAACAUUGUAAGGCAAACUUCUGAUGUUAAUUAACAUGCAAUUUUUAUUAUAUACAACUCCAAGGAAGUGAGCUAGGUAAAGAAUACCACUCACAUUUUGAGGUAUGUGAGAAAGAGACAAACGUGAACUAAGCACUGUAAUGUAAUAUUGCAUAUUAUAAGGAAACUUGUGAAGAAGGUUAUGGUGAUUUGUGGAGAGUAGAAUAGGAAAUAUGGGUGAGCCCGGGACAGGGAGUAAGGCAGCUUUACUUCUAAAUCUUUGCAAUGUUGUCUUCCAUAUUUUGAAACACUUUGUUUUCCAAUAAAAAUACACAGUAAUGACAGUAAUGAGUGGGUAGGUGGGUGAGUGGGUGGGUGGAUGGAUCCAUGGAUGGAUGGAUGGAUGGAUGGAUGGAUGGAUGGAUGAAAAAUAUAGUCACAACAUUCCAUUAAUGACUAGAGCCUUAAAAGUAGAAAAAAGACUACUUUAGGCUUCAGAGACUUUUCAGAUAUGGGGGAAACACUGGACUUGUGGACCUAGUAACCAUUUUUAACGUAAUGACAGUCCAGCUAGAAUUUGCAUCAAGGGUGCCUUUAAAAUGGACAUAUUUUACUGUAUUGCUACAGGUCAACAUUUUCGCCUGUUAUUACCCUUGAAGCAUUUCCAUUGGAUGUUUUUAUUUUAAAGGACGCUAUACUGUCAGCACAUUUUGUGUGUUAUUUUCUUUUCAAAAAUGUCAUCAUUUCUAAAAUAAAUAAACCGAGAUUCACAAUAUCUCAAUUUUCAGUGCUAAUAAAAAUUAACUCUCUUAGAGACAUGAACUCAACUGCUAAAUUUCUGAUGUAACUGCCAGCCUAGACGGGCAGAGGGAAAAUGGCACCAUGUACUAUCUGGAAAGAAGAGAGUACAAGUUGCAGUACUUGUGUGCAAACCUACCUGUCCUUAAUAACCUCAGCAAGCCACUUGACCCUGCUGAGGCCCAGUUUCCUGUGGUGUUGAUUAAGACUGCCUACAUGGCUAUCGUGAAGAGGAUCUGAAUUAUCUAAAUGAACUUACAUUGACCAUGACCUCAUUUAAAGGCACUGAUUAUCCUUUGCUAUCGUUUCUAGUGGUGAUGGUAAUAUUUAUCCUUAAACUGUUGAUUACCAAUAGAUUCAAAAAGAACUGAGAAUUUGUGAACAUUGUUUAUGUUUGUUUUACUUUUUAUCUGCAGUUCAUAUUUAGAUUUGUAUUCUUCUUUUCAUACAAUCCUGGAAAAAAAUGAGUCCCAGAGCCCCCCACAUUCUAGGCCAUUGUUCUUCUGUACUGUGUCACUGUCCCUAUUUAGAGGCAAAUUAAAGACAAAUCUGAUGAGAAAGGAACUUAAUUCAUUUUACAUGCAAAUAGAAUAUAUUGUGAAAGUAGUUUUAAUUAAAUUAAAAUUUAAUCAGGUCAUCUUCAAACUUGCCAAAUUGU